UACGUAGGGUGCGAGCGUUAAUCGGAAUUACUGGGCGUAAAGCGUGCGCAGGCGGUUUGUUGUGUCUGAUGUGAAAGCCCCGGGCUUAACCUGGGAAUGGCAUUGGAAACUGGCGGGCUUGAGUAUGGCAGAGGGGGGUGGAAUUCCGCGUGUAGCAGUGAAAUGCGUAGAGAUGCGGAGGAACACCGAUGGCGAAGGCAGCCCCCUGGGCUAACACUGACGCUCAGGCACGAAAGCGUGGGGAGCAAACAGG
rnacentral:rRNA from 1 species